UACAGAGGUCUCGAGCGUUGUUCGGAUUCAUUGGGCGUAAAGGGCGCGUAGGCGGCGGGGUAAGUCUGGUGUGAAAUCUCGGAGCUCAACUCCGAAACUGCACUGGAUACUGCUCUGCUAGAGGGCUGGAGAGGAGAUCGGAAUUCACGGUGUAGCAGUGAAAUGCGUAGAUAUCGUGAGGAAGACCAGUGGCGAAGGCGGAUCUCUGGACAGCUCCUGACGCUGAGGCACGAAGGCUAGGGGAGCAAACGGG
rnacentral:rRNA from 1 species